rnacentral:tRNA from 1 species
GCUAAUGUAGCUUAAAUAAAGCAUAACACUGAAGAUGUUAGGAUAGACCCUACAAAGUCUCAUAAGCA